GUACACUCCUGCGGGAGACAGCAGUGGGGAAUAUUGGACAAUGGGCGCAAGCCUGACCCAGCCAUGCCGCGUGAGUGAUGAAGGCCCUAGGGUUGUAAAGCUCUUUCACCGGUGAAGAUAAUGACGGUAACCGGAGAAGAAGCCCCGGCUAACUUCGUGCCAGCAGCCGCGGUAAUACGAAGGGGGCUAGCGUUGUUCGGAUUUACUGGGCGUAAAGCGCACGUAGGCGGACUAUUAAGUCAGGGGUGAAAUCCCGGGGCUCAACCCCGGAACUGCCUUUGAUACUGGUAGUCUUGAGUUCGAGAGAGGUGAGUGGAAUUCCGAGUGUAGAGGUGAAAUUCAUAGAUAUUCGGAGGAACACCAGUGGCGAAGGCGGCUCACUGGCUCGAUACUGACGCUGAGGUGCGAAAGCGUGGGGAGCAAACAGGAUUAGAUACCCCUGUAGUCCCAUG
rnacentral:rRNA from 1 species